UGGGGGAUAUUGCACAAUGGGGGAAACCCUGAUGCAGCGACGCCGCGUGGGUGACGAAGUAUUUCGGUAUGUAAAGCCCUAUCAGCAGGGAAGAAGAUGACAGUACCUGACUAAGAAGCCCCGGCUAACUACGUGCCAGCAGCCGCGGUAAUACGUAGGGGGCAAGCGUUAUCCGGAUUUACUGGGUGUAAAGGGAGCGUAGGUGGCAAGGCAAGCCAGAAGUGAAAACCCGGGGCUUAACCCCGCGGAUUGCUUUUGGAACUGUCUGGCUGGAGUGCAGGAGGGGCAGGCGGAAUUCCUGGU
rnacentral:rRNA from 1 species